GAGAGUAUAGCUCAGUAGUCGAGUGUGUGCUUAGCAUGCAUGAGGUCCUGGGUUCAACCCCCAGUACUUCCA
rnacentral:tRNA from 1 species